UUUGGAAUCUUGCACAAUGGGGGAAACCCUGAUGCAGCGACGCCGCGUGGGGGAUGAAGGAUCUAGGUCUGUAAACCCCUUUUGUCAGGAAAGACUUAGGACGGUACCUGGCGAAUAAGCACCGGCUAACUACGUGCCAGCAGCCGCGGUAAGACGUAGGGUGCAAGCGUUGUCCGGAUUUACUGGGCGUAAAGAGCGCGUAGGCGGUCCGUUAAGUGUGAAGUGAAAUCUCCAGGGCUCAACCCGGAAACUGCUUCGCAUACUGGCGGACUCGAGGGAUGCAGAGGUAAGUAGAAUUCCUGGUGUAGCGGUGACAUGCAUAGAUAUCAGGAGGAAUACCCACGGCGAAGGCAGCUUACUGGGCAUCAUCUGACGCUGAGGCGCGAAAGCGUGGGGAGCAAACAGGAUUAGAUACCCCCGUAGUCC
rnacentral:rRNA from 1 species